AUUGAACGCUGGCGGCAGGCCUAACACAUGCAAGUCGAACGAGUGGCGGACGGGUGAGUAAUGUCUGGGAAACUGCCCGAUGGAGGGGGAUCACUACUGGAAACGGUAGCUAAUACCGCAUACCAUCGGAUGUGCCUAGAUGGGAUUAGCUAGUAGGUGGGGUAAAGGCUCACCUAGGGGGCGAUCCCUAGCUGGUCUGAGAGGAUGACCAGCAAAACGGGAACUGGGACACGGCCCAGACUCCUACGGGGGGCAGCAGUGGGGAUUAUUGCACAAUGGGCGAAAGCCUGAGGCAGCCAUGCCGCGUGUAUGAAGCAGGCCUUCGGGUUGUAAAGUACUUUCAGCGGGGAGGCGUUAUCCGCAGAAGAAGCACCGGCUAACUACGUGCCAGCAGCCGCGGUAAUUC
rnacentral:rRNA from 1 species